rnacentral:rRNA from 1 species
AUUGAACGCUGGCGGCAGGCCUAACACAUGCAAGUCGAGCGGAUGAAGGGAGCUUGCUCCUGGAUUCAGCGGCGGACGGGUGAGUAAUGCCUAGGAAUCUGCCUGGUAGUGGGGGAUAACGUCCGGAAACGGGCGCUAAUACCGCAUACGACCUGAGGGAGAAAGUGGGGGUUCUUCGGACCUCACGCUAUCAGAUGAGCCUAGGUCGGAUUAGCUAGUUGGUGGGGUAAAGGCCUACCAAGGCGACGAUCCGUAACUGGUCUGAGAGGAUGAUCAGUCACACUGGAACUGAGACACGGUCCAGACUCCUACGGGAGGCAGCAGUGGGGAAUAUUGGACAAUGGGCGAAAGCCUGAUCCAGCCAUGCCGCGUGUGUGAAGAAGGUCUUCGGAUUGUAAAGCACGUUAAGUUGGGAGGAAGGGCAGUAAGUUAAAACCUUGCUGUUGUGACGUUACCAACAGAAUAAGCACCGGCUAACUUCGUG